CUUUAGUGGCGAACGGGUGAGUAACGCGUGAAUAACCUGACUCAAAGAGGGGGAUAACAACGGGAAACUGUUGCUAAUACCGCAUGAGACCCCAACACCGCAUGAUGAAGGGGUCAAAGAUUUAUCGCUUUGAGAGGGGUUCGCGUCCCAUUAGGUAGUUGGAGGGGUAACGGCCCACCAAGCCAACGAUGGGUAGCCGAGCUGAGAGGCUGAUCGGCCACACUGGAACUGAGACACGGUCCAG
rnacentral:rRNA from 1 species